ensembl:lncRNA
GCUUUCUCUACAGUGCAUUACAAAACCAGCAAUUGUAUACAACGUUGUGGAUAGAAACAGACCAGAAGAAGAGGUUUCUUACUCUUUAUAAUAAUAAGAUAAUAAUAAGAUACGCAAUUAUGUCUUAUUCCCUUCUUCGCUUUAAAUGAACAAAAUGUACACUUUUAAUAUUGUACAAUCACUAAAUCUAAUUUGGUUAACAAUUUUAAAAAAACAAUGCGGACAUUUUUUAAGUAUGAAUUCAAAGAACAUAUAGUUAGGACUUCUUUCUGGAUAUGUCACCUUCUCAACAGUCAUCACAGUUUUGUUAGUAAAAAGAGUGUGGUCCUUUCUUGUUAUAACCAAUAAUCCAUUACAGGUUAUAACCUAUAGUUUAUAAUCCAUAACAGGUUAUAACCUAUAGUCUAUAAUUCAUAACAGGUUAUAACAUAAAGCCUAUCAUUCACAACAGGUUAUAACCUUUUGCCUAUAAUCCAUAACAGGUUAUAACCUAUAGCCUAUCAUCCAUAACAGGUUAUAACCUUUUGCCUAUAAUCCAUAACAGGUUAUAACCUAUAGCCUAUCAUCCAUAACAGGUUAUAACCUAUAGCCUAUAAUCCUUAACAGGUUAUAACCUUUUGCCUAUAAUCCAUAACAGGUUAUAACCUUUAGCCUGUCAUAUAAAACAGGUUAUAACCUAUAGCCUGUCAUACAAAACAGGUUAUAACCUUUAGCCUGUCAUACAAAACAGGUGAUAACCUUUAGCCUAUCAUACAAAACAGGUGAUAACCUUUAGCCUAUCAUACAAAACAGGUUAUAACCUUUAGCCUGUCAUACAAAACAGGUUAUAACCUAUAGCCUGUCAUACAAAACAGGUUAUAACCUAUAGCCUGUCAUACAAAACAGGUUAUAACCUAUAGCCUGUCAUACAAAACAGGUUAUAACCAUAGCCUAUCAUCCAUAACAGUUUAUCAAAUGCACUUGUUAUUCAAAUAUCCAGCCAAUCUAGACAGUUUGGGUGAAUUGUGACAUGAUAGAUGUCUGUGUAAGUCUGCAACUCAAAGUGUCUAUGGGUGACUUCCUUUUCUGAGAGAACGUGCUAUCCUGUACGGUAUCCAAAUUAGGACUAACUGCUUGUGACUCCGAGUCGGUCCUAAUAUUGAUACCGCAAUCAUGAUGUGGCUGAUGGGAGAAUGACAACAGGAAGAGGGCAUUAAAUGGGAUGGACACCUUCCUAACAGUAUUGAGAAUGAGAUCUUGAAUGGGUUUUUCCAAAUGUCGUUUUUUUUCUCCCCAUUACUAAACUACAUGUCCAGAAUGAUCACGUCGUUCUUCAUAAAUAAUAGUGAUGUGCGCUCUAAAUAAUAUAUUACAUUUUAUCAUAAAAAGUACCCUCCCCAAACCCACCCACAGUCAAUGAGUUAACUAGCAAUUUGUCCUUCAGUUGCUCUAUGGAACUGUACAAUGGAAGAAGAAAAAAACAUGGCACCCUAUUCCCUAUAUAGUGCACUACUUUUGACCAAAGUCCAUAGGGCUUGAGUCAAAAGUAGGGCACGAAAUAGGGAAUAGGAUUCCAUUCGGGACUGACUCAAUAUUUUUCAUGUUGUCUUGCUUCAGCGGUCCUUUCUCCAUGGUAAUACACAUGUACAGCAUACAAGAAAAUAUAGAGCCAUGGUCUGCCUGUCUGUCGUUCAGAAGAGACAAGACUAUGUCGACAGAACUUCAUAGCUCAUCUGUUACCCUGCACUAAGGGCGAGGCAAAGAGAGAAAAAAAAAAUCAGGUUUCAUAUUUUCAUACAGAUCUCCAUACAAAUAAAGUGACCAACGAAGAGAGAAACGAAGAAUGGAAAAGCAAACGUAUAGGCACAUAGAACAUCUCCAUUUUUCUCAACAAAUUAAAAAUACAUUUAAAAAAUAAAGUAUUUAAAAGAAAAUACCACUCAAAAAAAAAAAAACAAUGUUGUGUUUCAUUAGUCCACUGUUGAAACAAUCCUAAAAAUGUUUUGCAGGUCAGCAAUCUAGUUUCCAAGAUGUAUAAUGUUAAAAUUCUAGAACGUGUCCUAAACGCAUCAUACUGUGACAUGUUCUGGACUUUUCAAUAUUCUAGAUCUUGAAAACUAGAUUUUGUUUUGUUGAAUUUUCCUUUAAGGGCAAACAGAUGAAAAAGAAAACCCCGGAUGUAGAAUGAGAGAAACUCGAGAGUUUGUUGUGACGAAAUAAAGACAUCUGUGUUCUGUGAUGAGUCGUCUGAUCUGUGACUUUUCUUUCCCUCUAUUCUAAACCAUUUGAAUGUCUCACUGGCACAGACAUCAAUACCAUAUUCAGCAUUGUUACUAUUUCCAGCUGGUGUCCUAAUAUGAAUCCUAACAUUUGAUACAGUAUAAUGAAUUCAACCCUUUAUCUCCUGCGUUCUAAUCUAAACAUGUUCUGAAUGACAAUGUAG